CAUUGGAGCAGGGCAUUUUGAUAGCGGCUGGAGGGCAGGCAGCUCAACCUCUAAACCCCCCUGGUCUGGGCACCAAGUCCUGUCCUGGGCACGGGACACAGUCCUCCAGCGAGACCAAACCCAGCUUCUCUACAGCACCAGGAAGAAGGCAAGCUGGGCCACCAGGGCGCGGCCCCAGGAAGGAAAAUCCUCCAUGGUCCUGUUGACAGAUGUGGUAUCAAAUGAAUUGUUCUCUGCUUAGACACGACUUUGAUAUUUAUUGGUUCAAAUUGCUCGGCUGACUCAGUCUUGCGGACUCUGAUUACACUGGACCUAUCCAAGAUCUGAGAUCAACAACUCAUCUCAAAAUCCUUAAGUUGACCACAGCAGCAUCGUCCCUUUUGCAGUGUAAGGGAGCCCAGCUGGGACAAUGUGUGAAUCAACGCAUGAAGGAGUGAGUGAGCAGCUAACCAAAUGAAAGAAUACUCAGAUAUCUGGGGUACAGUUCCCCUCCAGGUUUGCACAGCAUCUGCUGAAGUCUCCACUAGAAACUCAAUGGAAGGUCCCCACCGGAAACUGAAAGUCUCCUAGAGUGGCUUUGAGUUGCGGUGUCACCCUCCCUGCAGAUCCACAGGGGAGGCUGGGGCAGAUGAAAAAUACCAACUUGAGGGUCUGUGGCCACACCGUGCUGCUCCCCAAGGCCCCUCAGAAUUUCACUGCCCAAUAUGGUAGCGCCCAGCCUGAAACGUGGCCAGUGUGAAUUGAGAUGGGCUGGAAAUGCAUCAGACUUCCAAGAGCUGGACAAAAACCAUAUACUUUCCAUCCAGCUGUUUGGCAUUGGAUACUGCUGCCUCUGCUUGACUUGAGAUUGUGUGAGAAAAGCUGUGUUUAGACAACUGAAAACCACGAGCUUGAAAGUAGUGGGGGCACCCUCUUGGAGACUCCAGUUGCUCACCAGCUUGGACAAACCACUGGACUCAAAUGAUCAGGUAGAAAUUCAUCACUGGAGAGAACACAGUGGAAUGGCUUCAGCCAAAACUCACUCUGAAGGUCUUCAGGGCAACUUUAAGACUUGCCCCUGGCCGGGCACAGUGGCUUAUGCCUAUAAUCCCAGCACUUUGGGAGGCCGAGGCGGGUGGAUCACCUGAGGUCAGGAGUUCAAGACCAGCCUGGCCAAUAUGGCGAAACCCUGUCUCUACUAAAAAUCCAAAAAAUUAGCCGGGCGUGGUUGUGGGUGCCUGUAAUCCCAGCAACUCGAGAGGCUGAGGCAGGAGAAUUGCCUGAACCCGGGAGGCAGAGUUUGAAGACAGCCGAGAUUGCACCACUGGGCAACAAGAGCAAAACGCCAUCUCAAAAAAAAAAAAAAAAAAAAAAAUACUUGCCCCAGCUUUUUGUGUGAUGGACUUUCUAUUUACAGACGUGAUAUUUAUCUAUGACUUUACUCAGAGUCUGGCUCAUAGACCAGAAGGACUGGUAUCUCCUGGAGCUUGCAGGAAAUGCAAAAUCUCAAACCCCUGUAUUAGUCAGGGUUCUCCAGAGAAGUAGAGCCAAUGGGAUAGAGACAGGGAUAGGGAUGAUAGAGAUGGAGAUAGAGGUAGAGAUCCAUUAAUUCCUCUGUUAAUAAAUUGGCUCAUGCAGUUGUGACAAUUUCGAAAUCUGCAAGGUAUGUCAGCAAGCUGGAGACCCAGGGAACAGUUGAUGUUGCACCUUGAGUACAAAGGCAGUGUGUCUGGAGCCAUAAUAUCUUCUUGUUAGGAAGACUUUGGUCUUUUCUUUUCUGGCCUUCAACUGCUUGGGUGAGGCCCGUCCCCACUACAGAAAAUAAUAGUCUGUUCUACUCAGAGUCUACUGAUUUAAAUGCUCAUCUCAUCCCAAAAAAUACCCUCACAGCAACAUUUAGCCUGUGCAUUUGACCAAACAACUGGGUACCACGCCCCCCUCCCAAGUUGACACACAAAAUUGACCGUCAUACCCUCCCCACCCCCAGUCUUACUGAAUGAGAGAGAAUCUGUGCUUCAACAAGAUCCCCAGAAAAGGUAUAAGUGCAGGGAAGUCUGAGAAGCACCACCUUUGAGGCUUAUCCAGGAUGCCCACAUGAGCCUUCUCUGGAUAUGUCAGAUCCCCUUCCUGGCCCCCUAGACACCUCCUCCACUCCCCAAACUUGGAAGCAACAUUGUGGGGAAGCAGGCAGUGAGGCGCUCAGUCUACCACGUUGUGAGAUACACAGUUCCAUCUGUGUACCAUGAUUUGAUCCAAGGGAAUACAAAAGAUCCAGAAACAGAAGUACUUUUUUGUGAGCUCUCAAAAACUUCCUGUGACAAGAUCAGGUCCUUGAUGCGAGAGCCAUACUUGUUUCUUUUUCCUCUUUAUUCUCCACCUCUGACAUAAUACUUAGCAUAUAAAAAAAAUCCAAUAAACACCACUGAAU